UACGUAGGGAGCAAGCGUUGUCCGGAAUCAUUGGGCGUAAAGCGCGCGUAGGCGGCCCUGUAAGUCCGCUGUGAAAGUCAAAGGCUCAACCUUUGAAAGCCGGUGGAUACUGCAGGGCUAGAGUCCGGAAGAGGCGAGUGGAAUUCCUGGUGUAGCGGUGGAAUGCGCAGAUAUCAGGAGGAACACCAAUAGCGAAGGCAGCUCGCUGGGACGGUACUGACGCUAAGGCGCGAAAGCGUGGGAGCGAACGAG
rnacentral:rRNA from 1 species